AUCAGCGUCAGUAACAACGUAAUUAAUUACAACUUUCAACAACGGAUCUCUUGGUUCUGGCAUCGAUGAAGAACGCAGCGAAAUGCGAUACGUAGUGUGAAUUGCAGAAUUCAGUGAAUCAUCGAAUCUUUGAACGCACAUUGCGCCCUUUGGUAUUCCAAAGGGCAUGCCUGUUCGAGCGUCAUUUGUACCCUCAAGCUUUGCUUGGUGUUGGGCGUCUUUUGUCUCCAGCUCGCUGGAGACUCGCCUUAAAGUCAUUGGCAGCC
rnacentral:rRNA from 3 species